GAAAGAGAGGCAGUAGAGAAAGAAAGUGAAUGAGGGAGAAAGGUUAUUCCACCAUUUUUGGUGAGAUUAAAGUUAUCUUGAAGAGAAGAAGAAAGGGUUCUUGUCAAAGAUCCGUUUGGCUCGUUGUGGUGAAGAUUGUUCCAUCAAUUUCUACAUAUUUUUCAAAGGGGGAAAAUCUAGGGUUUUCUCAAACUCUAUUAGUAAGUAAUCUUACUCUUGCUAUUGUCAAAUUGAUAGUGAAUCUCAUCUUAUUGGUGAAUGAAUUGUUGAUCCAUCCUUAGGGGUCAGUGUAAUUAGGAAAAUAGGUAUCCAAGUGCUAUAUGCACCUUGAAGUUGUAGUUAUCCCCAAAUUGGGAGAAUUGUGUGUAACCCAUUAUUGUCAUAGUGGAAGAUUUUCCCGUGAUUCUUUUACUCUUCACCUUGGAAGGAUUUUUCCACGUAAUUGCCGGUGUUGUGUGAUUGCUUCUAUAUUGCAUAGUUGUGUUACUUCCGCAUUUGUGUUUCCUUGCUUGUGUAGGUUUCGUAUUGCGCAUGGCGACUCGGAUUUUGUAAGUCUCCCCAAACAAGUAGCUGGUGCUGCUUAUUAGUAUAGCAAAACACUAACAUAAGUCACUCUUUUCAUUUUUCUGCUUACAGCAAGUAAUUGCCUAUGUUGAAACUAAAUAUUUUAUUGAUUGGUUUUCAGCUGCUUCUUAUGACAAUGCAGUAGGAAGACAAGUGGAGUGAAAACUACAAGUCGUCGUUAUUGUUAGAUUCUUCGCUUUUCAUGGUACAAAAAUAAGUGCAACUAAAAAAACAAGAAAGUGUAAAGCUACAGAUUCGAAGGGGGACUGAUGAGAGGAUAAUAGAUAAGCCAUCAGAGUCAUCACAUGGGUAACAAUGUGUUCCAGAUUGUGCCUAUUUUGCUUUCUUAUGCAAAUUAAGUAACAUCAUUCAUUCUGCAAUAGUGGCAUACCGGCUCCACGGAUUGCAGGUUACUAUCUAAUAUCUAUGACACUAAUUUUUCUCAAGAACUUCAUUGAAGAUCGAGAAUAAGAAAAAUCGAAGUAUUUUUUACCGUCAGAAAUUUGUUUGGCGUCACAUCUCACAUAUAUGAAAUCAAGUUCAUCAUGCCUCAUCGAGCGCUGCUAAUGAUCCAAGUUUCUCUUCUCGAGGACUUCGAUGUUUAUGUUCUUAUGAUCGAUCUUCAUAUGACCAAAUACGAAAACAGUUCCUCGAGAGUCCGAAUAAUGUUGACGGAAUGUUUGAUGCUGCAAAGUACUCUGACACACGGCGUUGCGAGAGAGAAGCACAAAUUUGUAGAGAAAUGGAAGCAGAAGAGUGUUAUAAGAGAGAAGCGCAGAUGAUAACUAAUAAAACAUUUUCACAAAGUAAACAAUUCCAUCCAACUUGGGCAGAUGUUUAAUAUCUUAUAAGAACCUUCCUCUCCUUCAUAUCGCGGAUAGUUCUUAUGUGAUUCACGGGUUAUUCUGGAGAUCAUGAUGUUUAGUGAUCAGGUCAAGAUUCCCACAGAAGAGCCCUUGAGAAGAACCUGACAAGGUUAUGACCUACAGCACUAACGGUACAGUGGUAAUUCGCUUGAAAAUUUCUCUUUUUUUUCCUAUUCUUUUCGAUGUAAUUUUUGACGAUCAUAAUAUUAUAAAUAACUUGAUAUAAGAAGUGGUUUGUAAUUGUGAUCCAAGUCGGGGAGAUAAUUGUAGACAAACUAUUGUUGAUU